UACGUAGGUGGCAAGCGUUGUCCGGAAUUAUUGGGCGUAAGCGCGCGCAGGCGGUCCUUUAAGUCUGAUGUGAAAGCCCACGGCUCAACCGUGGAGGGUCAUUGGAAACUGGGGGACUUGAGUACAGAAGAGGAAAGCGGAAUUCCACGUGUAGCGGUGAAAUGCGUAGAGAUGUGGAGGAACACCAGUGGCGAAGGCGGCUUUCUGGUCUGUAACUGACGCUGAGGCGCGAAAGCGUGGGGAGCAAACAGG
rnacentral:rRNA from 1 species